GAGUCAGACACGACUAGCGCAACUAAGCAGCAGCAGUAGUUUUUAAUUCACAGAUUUGGUAUCAGGAUAACUUUGGCUAUGCAGUGCUGUAGCAGGGAGUGGGGGCUGCACGGCGCUGGAGUGGGGAGCAGCCGAGAGGAGAUACCCCAUGUCCAAGAUUUGUGUUCACUGAGACAGGGGAAGUCGCCUUUAUACAACAUCUUGGACCUGGAAAGAGUAAGAAGGGCCAGUGUUAACUGUCCUAAAAAGGCUGUGUGCUCAUUUCUUACUUUUAGAAGACCAUACUUGCAGAUCAACACCAUCACUGAAAAAGAC
ensembl:lncRNA